UGAAUUGCGAUAAUUAAUGUGAAUUGCAUAAAUCUGUGAAUCAUCUAGUUUUUGAACGCACAUUGCAUCCUGUGAGGGAUAUGAGUGAUUGAGGAUUGGUCGUAGAUAAUAAUUUGAUUUGGCGAGUCGACAUAAUUGAUUGUGUCGUUCGCUGAAAUAUCACAAGUGUUAUUCGGUGCGAUGAAAUAUUACACUAUAUACACAUACACACACAUACACAAUCUCAGUCACUCAAGAGUACCCGCUGAACUUAA
rnacentral:misc_RNA from 1 species